rnacentral:rRNA from 1 species
UAAUGAGAGCGGCGUACGGGUGCGUAACACGUGUGCAACCUGCCUUUAUCUGGGGGAUAGCCUUUCGAAAGGAAGAUUAAUACCCCAUAAUAUAUUGAUUGGCAUCAAUUAAUAUUGAAAGCUCCGGCGGAUAGAGAUGGGCACGCGUAAGAUUAGCUAGUUGGUGAGGUAACGGCUCACCAAGGCUGCGAUCUUUAGGGGGCCUGAGAGGGUGAUCCCCCACACUGGUACUGAGACACGGACCAGACUCCUACGGGAGGCAGCAGUGAGGAAUAUUGGACAAUGGGUGAAAGCCUGAUCCAGCCAUCCCGCGUGAAGGACUAAGGACCUAUGGUUUGUAAACUUCUUUUAUACAGGGAUAAACCUACUCUCGUGAGGGUAGCUGAAGGUACUGUAUGAAUAAGCACCGGCUAACUCCGUGCCAGCAGCCGCGGUAAUACGGAGGGUGCAAGCGUUAUCCGGAUUUAUUGGGUUUAAAGGGUCCGUAGGCGGGUCGAUAAGUCAGUGGUGAAAGCCUGCAGCUUAACUGUAGAACUGCCGUUGAUACUGUCGGUCUUGAGUGUAUUUGAGGUAGCUGGAAUGAGUAGUGUAGCGGUGAAAUGCAUAGAUAUUACUCAGAACACCAAUUGCGAAGGCAGGUUACCAAGUUACAACUGACGCCGAUGGA